UCCAUUUCCUCAGAUGUAUGUAGAUAACAAUGGAUUUUUCACCUUCAGUCCAUUAGAUAUGAUGUCCAUCCGUCUGUGUUUGGAAAGGAAAAUGAUAUCUGUCUGUAUUUGUGCAAGUUUCUUCAUGAGGUUGAUGGAUUGCCACUCCAU